rnacentral:rRNA from 1 species
UGAACCGUUAUAACCGGCGAUUUCCGAAUGGGGAAACCCAGUGUGAUUCGUCACACUAUCAUUAACUGAAUCCAUAGGUUAAUGAGGCGAACCGGGGGAACUGAAACAUCUAAGUACCCCGAGGAAAAGAAAUCAACCGAGAUUCCCCCAGUAGCGGCGAGCGAACGGGGAGGAGCCCAGAGCCUGAAUCAGCAUGUGUGUUAGUGGAAGCGUCUGGAAAGGCGCGCGAUACAGGGUGACAGCCCCGUACACAAAAGCGCAUGUGCUGUGAGCUCGAUGAGUAGGGCGGGACACGUGGUAUCCUGUCUGAAUAUGGGGGGACCAUCCUCCAAGGCUAAAUACUCCUGACUGACCGAUAGUGAACCAGUACCGUGAGGGAAAGGCGAAAAGAACCCCGGCGAGGGGAGUGAAAAAGAACCUGAAACCGU